UUCCUUAACUGCGCAGGGCGCUGCGCAGGCGCAAUAGAGAUACCUUGACUUCCGCGCGCUUCAGAAGGUAUAAAUAAGGAUGUCCUGGGGGCUGCUCGGUCUUUUCGAGAGAGAGCGAGGCCUUGCGUUGGAGCUGACUGCGAUCACUCAGGAUUCCAAAUAAAUUGAUUUGAGGAGAGAAGAGGAGCCUUGUGGCAGUUGGCACUUAAUCUUUUGGGUCGUUUAUUUGGCAGGGAGUGUUGGUAAAGUGAAUGAUCAAUGCUGUUACAGGAUAAGCCCGAAAGUUUGGAGGCUUGGGCACAUUUGACCCCUUUUUAAAACUGCCCUUUACAGUAAACUGGGGGAACAAGUUGAAUGUUCUGUUGGACAGGUGCCCAUUAAAAUUUGAGGGAUGUGGACAGCACUGAAUCUGGAUAAGUCUUAAAACAGUCUGGUCCUUUGACCCACAAAGCCCAAAGAUUCCAGAAUGCCUCUGAGGAGAAAACUUGUCUUAAGGAAACUAAGAUACUACUUGGCCUUUUCUGCUGUUCUCAGGUAAACCUGGGUUUUCUAACUAUAACUGAAUAGAAAACAAACCUAUGAGAUCCUAAGUAUGUCUUUAUUAAAGAUCCAGGUCUGUUUAUAAUGUAUUUAUAAAUUACAAUAAAGAUGACUGCAUAUUUGUUUGGCUCCCUUUUUUUGUGGAAAUGUGACCGAUAACCGUAUUCUGUGAAUGGAAGUGCUUGUUAAAGAAAACUACCUUUGCAGUUAAUGUUUGAUUAGUUCUGCGUUAACUAAAGACCCUGAGCUUGUGUGUGUCUUGUGUCUCUUGGCACUUGUUUACUCCUAAAGUGUUGAUUCCUACCAGUUACCUAGUGUGCAGGUAAAAGCUUCCUGGUUGCAUUCAAAGGUGGGUAGUACUUAAACCCAAUGAAUUUAGGUGUGGUGUCUUGAAAAACUAAUGUACAAUUGGCCACUGGACAUGAGUGUUAAGAGAUCUGGGUUAGACCAAGCCUUAUCUUCAUUUUCCCAGAAUAUAGUACAUCUAAGUUGACCUUAACAAGAUUGGGCAUAAAUGCUAAAAUCACACCACUGUUUGAAACUACAUAAGCCUCUACUGCCAGUGUUCCAAGUGGAACUUAAGCCUGAGGAAAUUGUCAUCCUGCCUAUGAAUGAUGUGAUACUGAGUCACAAUGGAAAUCUUGUCAAGCUCCUGUACUAGCUGCCAGCAUUACAGGACAGUUGAGACCAUGAAGGAUGGGGACUAGCAGGGAACCAUCUAGAAGAUGAGGAAAACAAGUUGGAGAAUAUGAGGAACUUGCCCAAGUCAUACAGCCAGUAAGUGGCAGAGCAUGCAUGUGAGCAAGGCAGCUGACUACAGAACCUAUUUUCAACCUACGUCGUAUCAUGCCUCAAAACCUGGUUUAAACUACUUUUUGUAUUAAGCUGAUGUAAUAAUUACUUCACCAUAAAACCUCAGUUUCAGUUGUAAUGAAUUAUAAACCUAUGUGCCCAGUUUUACUUGACAGUGGAAAAUAAAGUGGAAAUGAGUAGA